GGAGAUGGAGUUUUAAGUCUCCAUCUAAAUUGAUAAGAAAUAAUGAAUUGAAUAUGGGAAUUUACAAUCACUCAACAACGCUAGCGAUUGAAUUACCGCGCAAUAUCAAUCAAUAUUUAGGCUGACGCUUUGAAAGUUUUUUCAAUGUUUAUCAUCAGACAAUUCAUUAUUUACAGAAGGCCCUUAUGACAUCUUGAACCCUGUACAUAAACCCCAUGUCUUUGGUGAGGACACUGUUCCAUGGCUGAUGCGUGUGAGGCGGAUGGCUGUGCUCUGCACCAGGAAGAAGAUGUCAUGCUGAGGAUGGGUUUCUGCACUGAUGUUGUUGGUGUGAUGUACUGUAGCGGUGGCUCUCUCACUGUGUCUCUGUUGGCCAUGAUGCGUAACCAUAGAGAGUGAGUGACAGCCUGGUCCCCACACAGCAUAGGGGGCCUGAGAACCACAGACUCCUUUCAGAAGCAGUGAGGACUGACCAGUCUGCAAGCGAGACACUGGCCUUUCUUCCAUCAUGCCAGUCACUGACUGCUCUAGGCGUUUUGUUCAAAAACUAGUGCCACAAGUAUGGAAAUGCAGAUAAAUCAUUGUAACAAAUGAAAGAGGGGAAAAAAGGUUUAAAUGCCUGGAAAUGGUCACCGUCCACCACUUGUACCACUGCCUGGUGCAUUUUUUUUGAAAGUUUUGCCAACAUUUUCAGUUGUUGACGGAUCUGUAGAGCGGAGGUAUCUAUCUACACACGCAGAUUAUGAGAGCCCUCAAUGUAAAUAACAUAUUAUUGUUUCUUUGAAUUUAAGAUGACGUUAACAAUGACCUAUCACAGUUUGCUGAUUAUAUGCCCGAAUGUAAUCCUUCAGAUAAACAUUCUACAUAGUUUGUUAGAUAUGGAAACAUACAACUGCCAUGUAUCGUUUACGGGGAAAAAAUCAAAACAGUAUAAAGCAAGCCUGUUUAGUAUUACGUGUUGCAGGCUGGCUAUAUGUUAUUUGGGUAAGUCAUAGAAGCUCUGUAAGUAUGUACAACAUGUUUUUUUAAUAUAUUUAAAAAAAUAUAUCCACAGUAUAUCUAUUGUCUUAAUCAAGUAUCCCACAACAGUCCAAAUGGAUGAGUAGUCCAAUGGUGGUUUUGGUUAUUGUGAUGAUUGAACAAGUUGAACCAGUCGUAGGCUGGGAGUAGUAUGAGGAAGAAUAUGGAAACAUAGAAACAUUUAUCUCAAAUUAUAUCCAAUACAUUUGAGACAUCUUUAUUUUGUAAAAAAUGUUUUGUCAAAGUGAUGAGAAAAAUAUUAUUUGCCAUUUUGUGUAAUGUUGUGAUUGUCCUUCUCAUAAUAAAAAUG